GAUGAAGAACGCAGCGAAAUGCGACAAGUAAUGUGAAUUGCAGAAUUCCGUGAAUCAUCGAAUCUUUGAACGCACAUUGCGCCCGCCAGUAUUCUGGCGGGCAUGCCUGUCUGAGCGUCAUUUCAACCCUCAUGCCCCUAGGGCGUGGUGUUGGGGAUCGGCCAGCGCCCGCGAGGGACGGCCGGCCCCUAAAUCUAGUGGCGGACCCGUCGUGGCCUCCCCUGCGAAGUAGUGAUAUUCCGCAUAGGAGAGCGACGAGCCCCUGCCGUUAAACCCCCAACUUUCUAAGGUUGACCUCAGAUCAGGUAGGAAUACCCGCUGAACUUAAGCAUAUCAAUAAGCGGAGGA
rnacentral:misc_RNA from 1 species